rnacentral:rRNA from 1 species
UGAUGUUUAGCCGGGUCGAGAGACUGAACGGCCACAUUGGGACUGAGAUACGGCCCAAACUCCUACGGGAGGCAGCAGUAGGGAAUAUUCCACAAUGAGCGAAAGCUUGAUGGAGCGACACAGCGUGCACGAUGAAGGUCUUCGGAUUGUAAAGUGCUGUUAUAAGGGAAGAACAUUUGCAAUAGGAAAUGAUUGCAGACUGACGGUACCUUGUCAGAAAGCGAUGGCUAACUAUGUGCCAGCAGCCGCGGUAAUACAUAGGUCGCAAGCGUUAUCCGGAAUUAUUGGGCGUAAAGCGUUCGUAGGCUGUUUGUUAAGUCUGGAGUU